UUGCUUUAGUAGCAUAUAUACUAAAAUUGAAAUGAUACAGAGGAGAUUAGCAUGGUCCCUGUGCAAGGUUGAUAACAAAUUUGUGAACCAUUACAUAAAAAG
ensembl:snRNA U6 U6 spliceosomal RNA